rnacentral:rRNA from 1 species
AGGGAGUUUUCGGCAAUGGGGAAACCCUGACCGGGCAACGCCGCGGGGGUGAUUGAGGGCCUCGGGUUGUUAAACCCUGGUGGAGGGGGUGAAAGGUUUCGGGAGGAAAUGACCGGGGCUUUGCCGGUCCCUACCCGGAAGCCCAGGGCAACUACCUUGCCAGCAGCCGCGGUAAUACGUAGGUGGCAAGCGUUAUCCGGAAUUAUUGGGCGUAAAGAGUGAGCAGGCGGCCGUUUAAGUUUGAAGUUAAAUCCAGGGGCUCAACCCCUGUACGCUUUGAAAACUGGACGGCUAGAGUAUGAGAGAGGUAUAUGGAACUCCAUGUGUAGCGGUGAAAUGCGUAGAUAUAUGGAAGAACACCGGUGGCGAAGGCGAUAUACUAGAUCAAUACUGACGCUCAGUCACGAAAGCGUGGGUAGCAAAUA